CGCGUAGGCGGCCCCGUGUGUCGCGUGUGAAAUCCCCGGGCUCAACCCGGGAAGUGCGCGCGAAACUGCGGGGCUCGAGCGGAGGAGGGGAGAGCGGAAUUCAUGGUGUAGCGGUGAAAUGCGUUGAUAUCAUGAGGAACACCGGUGGCGAAGGCGGCUCUCUGGAAUCCUGCUGACGCUGAGGCGCGAAAGUCGGGGAGCAAACA
rnacentral:rRNA from 1 species